CCAGACUCCUACGGGAGGCAGCAGUGGGGAAUAUUGGACAAUGGGGGAAACCUGGUCCAGCGACGCCGCGUGAGUGAAGAAGUAUUUCGGUAUGUAAAGCUCUAUCAGCAGGGAAGAAAGAAAUGACGGUACCUGACUAAGAAGCCCCGGCUAACUACGUGCCAGCAGCCGCGGUAAUACGUAGGGGGCAAGCGUUAUCCGGAUUUACUGGGUGUAAAGGGAGCGUAGACGGCGAUGCAAGUCUGAAGUGAAAGGCGGGGGCCCAACCCCCGGACUGCUUUGGAAACUGUAUAGCUGGAGUGCAGGAGAGGUAAGUGGAAUUCCUAGUGUAGCGGUGAAAUGCGUAGAUAUUAGGAGGAACACCAGUGGCGAAGGCGGCUUACUGGACUGUAACUGACGUGGAGGCUCGAAAGCGUGGGGAGCAAACAGGAUUAGAUACCCGUAAG
rnacentral:rRNA from 1 species